AUUGAACGCUGGCGGCAUGCCUUACACAUGCAAGUCGAACGGCAGCACGGGAGCAAUCCUGGUGGCGAGUGGCGAACGGGUGAGUAAUAUAUCGGAACGUGCCCAGUCGUGGGGAUAACGUAGCGAAAGCUACGCUAAUACCGCAUACGAUCUAUGGAUGAAAGCGGGGGAUCGCAAGACCUCGCGCGAUUGGAGCGGCCGAUAUCAGAUUAGGUAGUUGGUGAGGUAAAGGCUCACCAAGCCGACGAUCUGUAGCUGGUCUGAGAGGACGACCAGCCACACUGGGACUGAGACACGGCCCAGACUCCUACGGGAGGCAGCAGUGGGGAAUUUUGGACAAUGGGCGCAAGCCUGAUCCAGCAAUGCCGCGUGCAGGAUGAAGGCCGUUCGGUUGUAACUGUCUUUGUACGGUAACGGAACGGUAGAGCUCUAAUACUAGUUGUCUAAUGACGGUACGUAAGAAUAAGACACCGGACUAACUACGUCG
rnacentral:rRNA from 1 species